AUUAAUUUUAGGUUAAACCUGCCCUGUGAAUUUUUUUAACGGCUGCGGUACUCUGACCGUACUAAGGUAGCAUAAUCAAUUGGCUUUUAAAUGGAGUCUGGAAUGAAAGGGAAAUUGGAGUUUAACUUUCUUAAAUAAAUUUUAUUGAAUUUACUAUAAAAGUGAAAAAGCUUUUUUAUGAAAAAAGACGAGAAGACCCUUGGAGUUUAGAAAAUUUUGUUGGGGCGACAUUAAAAAUAAAACUUUUAAAUUUAUAAUUAACAACUUUUAGUUUUAAUUUAUAAACUACCCAAGGGAUAACAGCAUAAUUCUUUUAGAGAUUGUGACCUCGAUGUUGGACUAGGAAAGAUAAUAACUAGUAGUUAUUAUUUUAAUGUUCUGUUCGAACUUUAUUCUCCU
rnacentral:rRNA from 1 species